CGACACUGUGCUCUGGAAAGUGGCUUGUGAAAAUUCAAUGGAAGAGAACGGUCAGGUACUCUGAGGCCUUCCAUGUCAAUUCCAGGACUGCUUCUAGGGCCUCAUCAUCCAGUUGCAUCACGCUCCUUCUGAGGACUCCAGUUUGGCAUGUUUCCUAUCACACAGUGCCCUCCACACCCAGCUGCCCCGGGACCUCUGACCUCCUCACCUCUCCUCACUUCCCCUGUGCAUCUCUGGUGCCCCUGCCCUGCUGUGCCGGAUCUCCAUUUUCUAACCAUGUACCAGGUAUUUUCACCGGGGUAAGCUGUGGCCCUUUUAGAUAUUUAAAAGUUAAGUCAACCACCCUCCAAAACAAGCUUUAUUUAAAAAUCCCUAAGUAAAUGUUUGAGUUCUUCUACAGUCAUCUUAGACUAUCCUACGAGUCCUUCACACUGAAAAGCAAGUGCUGGUUCAGCACGUCCUUCUGGUAACCUCAGCAUCCGGACUGUUGGCUCGGCUGCAGCCCCAGCAGCUGACUUCAAUAGCACAGUGUCU
rnacentral:lncRNA from 1 species